rnacentral:rRNA from 1 species
CUACGGGUGGCUGCAGUGAGGAAUAUUGGACAAUGGAUGGAAAUCUGAUCCAGCCAUGCCGCGUGCAGGAAGACGGCCCUAUGGGUUGUAAACUGCUUUUGUGUGGGAGCAAUAAGGUCUAUGCGUAGACUGAUGAGAGUACCAUACGAAUAAGCAUCGGCUAACUCCGUGCCAGCAGCCGCGGUAAUACGGGGGAUGCAAGCGUUAUCCGGAUUUAAAGGGUUUAAAGGGUGCGUGAUAGGUUUGCGGUGAAAUAUUUCAGCUUAACUGAAAGGGUGCCGUUGAUACUGUCAGGCUUGAAUAUGGUUGCUGUGGGUGGAAUGUGUGGUGUAGCGGUGAAAUGCUUAGAUAUCACACAGAAUAUCGAUUGCGAAGGCAGCUCACAAAGCCAUUAUUGACGCUGAUGCACGAAAGUGUGGGGAUCAAACAGGAUUAGAUACCCUAGUAGUC